UUAAUAAACACAAGCUGCAUUCCAGUCUCUUACUGUGCUGCAGGUCAAGCACCUCACCAACAAAUUCCUCAGUACCGCUUUAGCUCCAGCAGAUGAAGAGGCAAGGCAGUGAUGAGGCAUAAAGAUUUAUUGCGAGUAAAGCUCAGGACUACCCCAGAAGAAAAAAAAAGUCAGAAGUUACUGUGUUCAUGUUGAGGAUACAGUGUAAAGAAAUGAGCAGGUACAGAUUAAAUAUGCACCUGACAGGAAUGACACAGGUAGAGCUGAUCUCCAGUGGAAAGACAUAUGAGAAGACCUUUUUUGGCUCCUUGUAGCCCUCUAAUUCAAUUUCACUACUGCCACUCCAGUUCUCCCACUGCUUUGUCAGAACUGAAAUAAACCUGGGGCAAAUUUUCUGCAGCACUCUCUCCAUCUGCGAUCCCAGCUCCACUGCCUGGGCUAGAGUCAAGGUAUCAAGUUCCACCAAGAGCUUCUCCCAGAUUCGCCAGUCUGCCGCUUUGUCAAUUAGCUGAUCCAGGAUCAGCUCUUCAUGCCAACAGCCAAAAGCACAGGCUGAUGCCAAUUCCUCCAAUGCCAAAGCAAAGGUUGUCAGAGUUUCACCUGGCAGUUGUGCCCGCUGCCUGAACUGGAACCUCUGUAAUACCACACUCUGUCUGGGCUUAAUGUGCCCUGAAAGCUUCUUCAUUGUUUCUUCAAAAGAGGCAGCAGAAACCAGGGUUGUAAAAAUCCUCUGAUCUUUCACAUCCAAAGACUGGAAAACUAAGUCCAAAGACUCAGGGAAUCUUCAGGUUUCACUCAUCUAUAUCAGCCAAAUCUCACAAUCAGCCACUGACACCAGGGGCCUGAAAGAUUUCACAGUUCCAGCAACAUGUAGAACGUAAACUAGCAGCAAGAUGCAACUGGAACUCCCCAGUCUUCACUGCUACCACUGCAUGGGUCCACUACCUCUGAACAAGAGCAUAGAGGCACAUCACAAAUGCUUUGCCUUGUCACGGGAAGCAAUUUCUUGUCACCCAAAAGACUCCUGCCUUUCAGCCCAUGUUGUCUGGCUGGGCAGGAAAUACAGAGCUCCUCCCAUGCAGGCAGCGAGGGUGGGGGCAGGUGAGCAUGACAGCAGAGAACAGAAUGGGAAGGAAAGAAGAAGAUGAUGGAAAGACAGCCCCUGCCCCCCACCCACUAGGAAAUUUUUGUUGCAUGCCCUAAUACACUAAACUAAAGCUUAUCAAAUGUUUAAUGGGAAUCAAACGCAAAAUCCAGGUUUAAUGGUUUUACACACAUUGCUCACAAUAAUUAACAACAUAAUCUUUACCAGCAAAACAAUCCCCACAUGCCACCAAGGCAAAUUUAGAAAGUAAGCAAGACUAUAGCAGCAAUGAGACGGUGCCGAAAGUCAAGGCUGACCUGUGUUUGCCUUCAUAGAUGCAGGCUGUCAGCUCUUUCUUUUUCUGUGUCUAACAAUCCUGCCUAAGAAUGGCAUCCUCCUGUGACAGAGCCUAUUGAUCUGUCCAAAAGUGGCACUAUUUCACUAGCAGUUUACAGAAUUCAGUCCCACAGGCAUGUAAGAGCAGCAGAACUGUAGAAAGAUCUUUGUAUGAGCAAUUUUUCUUCUCAAGACUGGAGUCUGCAGCUGCCUCCAUUUUGCAGCUUUUUUCAGUGAUCACAUAGCAGGUAUAACUGGAAACACAGCACCUCAAAAGUGUGUGUUGUAGAAAAGAUAAUGAGGAAGAAGAUGUCUUGCUUGCCCUGCAUGUUUGUGAAUAUAUAUGGUACAAAGAAACAAUUUUUAGUCCUUUUUCUUGUUUUGGUGGGUGUCUGCUGUAUGCCAGUCAAAGAGACCAGAUGGGUCCAUGCAGCAAAUAUCUAUAUAGGCCAAGAUAAUCACUGUCUUAAGGUACCCUUUCUCAAUGAAAUAGCCAACCCCAUUAGUUCAGGAGUACUGAUCAAUUUUUUAAUAACAGUAACAUAAAACACUUUCUUUAGUUAAAAAAAUUACUGAACAACACUGGAGGAGCUCAUGGAUUUACCUAUACCUGCCCACUGCUUUACCAUUUCUCUUUCAUGGGUUCAUACUAGCUGUUUCACUAAAUGCUUGGUCACACCACAAGAUUGGGUAGAGUUGGAAUGCUGAAUUACUCAACAGCUUUAGCAUUUUUCAAAGACUUGAACUUUAAGAGGUUUAAAAAGUAUUGUCCCAACAAUUUAAUAAAGGAGGAUUUAGGUUAAAAUUCACCUGGAGAGUCUCAGCCCCAUUUUUAGCAAUAAGAUUUACUGUACAGAGAUAAAUGACACAGAUUUUGGUUACCCCAUGGGCAUAAUUUUUCUGCCACUCAAAAUUCUCAGUGUCCCCUGUUUUAAGAAGAUUACUGAUUUAUUUACAGGGCCAGAUGACUUGAAGGUAGUAAGCUAAGUGAAAAAAGGAAAUGAAGCUGAACUUCCUGAAAAAUUAUGUGAAAGUUGAAAUACUAGAGCGCCUUGAACUGCUUUGCUCAGAAAACUCAAGUGUACAGUCGGGCAGUAGUCACCAGAGAUAAAAGCACAGAAAAUAGCUGGAGAAGGGCAGGAGAACUCUGCCCAGUGAAGGCAAAAGACUCAAAUGCUGUACCUGCCUUUCCCUUGCAGGGGUGCUGCCACAGAAGACCUUGAGGAAAGAUGCAGGACACUACUCUCAUGUAGCAUAACAGUUUAGGAAGGCCACUGAGGGUAGAACUAACCUGGCAGGAUGUGGGUCUAAUGCACCUGAACAUGGGUUUACAUUAUUAAUCAGUAGCGUGUCUGCUGGUUUACUUCCUUACUUCCAUUUACUUAAUGAAGCUCUAAUUAAAAGGUGAAUGCUGUCAAAAGCUAGCAAACAAAAAAGUCAUGGGAAGAGUUGGACUGUAGUUAACACACACAAAACCAGUGACAAUCACUUAAUUCAGUGCACGGAUGAGCAAAAAAAGAGUAAAUAUAAUCACAAAGCCUUUUGUCUGAAUUCCUGUGAAAUAAAAAUCUUAAUAGAUCCUUAUCAGAGCUGGACAAAACUAUCAGUGAAAUACACCAAUAAUAACAUAAUGUUAACAGAUUGUGACGUUUCAGCACAUAUUUCUUAAGUAUUUCCCUUAAGUGGAAACUGCUAUUCAUGUACAUUGAAGGAAUAUGAAGAAGUGUUUCCUUUCCUAAAAGAUUAGAUGACAUAGAAUAAUUGUGCAGAAGGGAGACAGAGUGGAUGGACCCUGAAUCCUACUGUUACAAAUCUGUUUCUGGACCAAAUGAGACAUCCUUUAGCAUAUGAAGCAUCUUCACACCAUGCAUCAUGCCAUCCCUAGGUCAGUACUCUCCUUAUCUCAUAGAGAAAGGGAGUUCAGAGACACUACAUGAUUUGCUCUUGACAAUAAAUGCGACAAACCCAGGAUAAGGAUUUAGGGCUUCAGUAUCCCAUGCCCCUUUCUUCAGCAGCUCAUUAACCCUAUAGCCCCACCACAGCUCUACUUUUCGAAAUGAACAUACUAGUCAAAAGAUAGUCAAAAGCUAUUGCCACCCCAGCUCUUGAAAACCAGCCCUAUAUUUAACAACAACCCUAUUUAAAAGACUUCUCUGACUGAAGAAGAGCCUGAGCUACAAAAUGUUGGCAGCUGACAGAAUGCUCAGGAGAAGCCUCACUAUGUGUUUGCUAUAUUUUUAUACCUUUUCCUGGACAUCUUUUGAUCACUUCUGGAGACAGGAUAUGGAGUUAAACGGAACAAACUACAGAUCCAUCUGGCCACUCUGGCCAUUCUUAUCUUCUCAAUUCACAAAGAAGGAAACAAGUUCAAAUAGGAUGACACCAAAAAGUGACCUCCUUCAUGAAAUUUCAGGAUGAAUUUUUAAACAUAGACACCUGAAUCUUGAUGCCUCCUUUGGAAAACUUGCCUAUAAAAAUCAGUAUUCAAAGCCUUUUGCUGUGAACUAU